rnacentral:rRNA from 1 species
ACGGGGUGCAGCAGGCGCGAAAACUUUACAAUGCGGGAAACCGUGAUAAGGGGACCCCGAGUGCCUGUACACGCAGGCUGUUCAGGUGUUUAAAACGCAUCUGGAGAAAGGGCCGGGCAAGACCGGUGCCAGCCGCCGCGGUAAUACCGGCGGCUCGAGUGGUGGCCACUAUUACUGGGCUUAAAGCGUUCGUAGCUGGUCUGUUAAGUCUCUGGGGAAAUCUUCCGGCUCAACCGGAAGGCGUCUCAGGGAUACUGGCAGACUAGGGACCGGGAGAGGUGAGGGGUACUCCAGGGGUAGGAGUGAAAUCCUGUAAUCCUUGGGGGACCACCUGUGGCGAAGGCGCCUCACCAGAACGGCUCCGACAGUGAGGAACGAAAGCUGGGGGAGCAAACCGGAUUAGAUACCCGGGUAGUCCCAGCUGUAAACGAUGCGCGUUAGGUGUAUCGGUGACCACGAGUCACCGAGGUGCCGAAGAGAAAUCGUGAAACGUGCCGCCUGGGAAGUACGGUCGCAAGGCUGAAACUUAAAGGAAUUGGCGGGGGAGCAC